rnacentral:rRNA from 1 species
AUUGAACGCUGGCGGCAGGCCUAACACAUGCAAGUCGAACGGUAACAGGAAGAAGCUUGCUUCUUUGCUGACGAGUGGCGGACGGGUGAGUAAUGUCUGGGAAACUGCCUGAUGGAGGGGAUAACUUCCGGAAAAGGGAGCUAAAAACGGAUAACGUCGCCAAACCCAAGGGGGGGGACUUUGGGGCCCUUUCCCUCGGAAUUGGCCAGAUGGGAUUAGCUAGUUGGUUGGGUAACGGCUCACCUAGGCGACGAUGCCUAGCUGGGCUGAGAGGAUGACCAGCCACACUGGAACUGAGACACGGUCCAGACUCCUACGGGAGGCAGCAGUGGGGAAUAUUGCACAAUGGGCGCAAGCCUGAUGCAGCCAUGCCGCGUGUAUGAAGAAGGCCUUCGGGUUGUAAAGUACUUUCAGCGGGGAGGAAGGGAGUAAAGUUAAUACCUGCGCUCAUUGACGGUACCCGCAGAAGAAGCACCGGCUAACUCCGUG